rnacentral:rRNA from 1 species
GGUCAAGCUACAAAGGGCGCAUGGUGAAUGCCUUGGCAUCAGGAGCCGAUGAAGGACGUGAUAAGCUGCGAUAAGCUUCGGGUAGGCGCACAUAGCCUGAGAUCCGAAGAUCUCCGAAUGAGGAAACUCACAUGGGAAACCCCAUGUAUCAUUAAGUGAAUACAUAGCUUAAUGAAGGUAACCCAGGGAACUGAAACAUCUAAGUACCUGGAGGAAGAGAAAGAAAAAUCGAUUUUCUUAGUAGCGGCGAGCGAAAGGGAAAGAGCCCAAACCGGAAACUUGUUUCCGGGGUUGUGGACAGAACAUAACGAUUGGUAGGACGUAAUCGAAGAGAACUGGAAAGUUCCACCGUAGAAGGUAAUAGUCCUGUAGAUGAAACGGGAAAUCAAUUAGUUCUGAUCCAGAGUACCACGAGACACGUGAAACCUUGUGGGAAGCAGGGAGGACCACCUCCCAAGGCUAAAUACUACCUGAUGACCGAUAGUGAAGCAGUACCGUGAGGGAAAGGUGAAAAGAACCCCGGGAGGGGAGUGAAAUAGAACCUGAAACCGUGUGCCUACAACCGCUCAGAGCCCCUUAUGAGGGUGAUGAGGUGCUUUUUGUAGAACGAGCCAACGAGUUACGGUAUGUAGCAAGGUUAAGUACUUAAGGUACGGAGCCGAAGGGAAACCGAGUCUGAAUAGGGCGACUAGUUGCAUGCCGUAGACCCGAAACCGGGUGACCUAUCCAUGGCCAGGUUGAAGCGAGGGUAAAACCUCGUGGAGGACCGAACCACGUUGCUGUUGAAAAAGCAUGGGAUGAGCUGUGGAUAGCGGAGAAAUUCCAAUCGAACCCGGAGAUAGCUGGUUCUCUCCGAAAUAGCUUUAGGGCUAGCGUCGAGUAUGAGUAGUGGAGGUAGAGCACUGAAUGGGCUAGGGGGCAUAGCGCUUACCGAACCUUAUCAAACUCCGAAUGCCACAUACUUUGAGCUCGGCAGUCAGACUACGAAUGAUAAGAUCCGUGGUCAAAAGGGAAACAGCCCAGAUCGUCAGCUAAGGUCCCAAAGUGUAAGUUAAGUGGGAAAGGAUGUGAGAUUUCUAAGACAACUAGGAUGUUGGCUUAGAAGCAGCCAUUCAUUAAAAGAGUGCGUAAUAGCUCACUAGUCGAGAGAUCUUGCGCCGAAAAUGUAACGGGGCUAAACUUACCACCGAAGCUACGGGCUUGAACAUAAGUUCAAGCGGUAGGAGAGCGUCGUAACCGGGCUGAAGUCGUACCGUAAGGAGCGGUGGACUGGUUACGAGUGAGAAUGUUGGCAUCAGUAGCGAGAUGUGGGUGAGAAUCCCACAGGCCGAAAACCUAAGGUUUCCUCAGGAAGGUUCGUCCGCUGAGGGUUAGUCGGGACCUAAGCCGAGGCCGAAAGGCGUAGGUGAUGGACAACUGGUUGAUAUUCCAGUACCACUACCAUCGUUAUUAUCGAUGGCGUGACGCAGGAGGAUAGUGUGUGCUAGCUAUUGGAUGCUAGUCUAAGCGUUUAGGCAGUGAGAGUAGGCAAAUCCGCUCUCAUAAUGCUGAGGCGUGAUGGGGAAGGUUCCACGGAACCGAAGUACAUGAUUCCACGCUGCCAAGAAAAGCGUCUAGAGAGAGAAGUAGUGCCCGUACCGCAAACCGACACAGGUAGGUGAGGAGAGAAUCCUAAGGCCGGCGGAAGAAUUACAGUUAAGGAACUCGGCAAAUUGACCCCGUAAGUUCGCGAGAAGGGGUGCCUACGAGAGUAGGCCGCAGAGAAUAGGCCCAAGCAACUGUUUAGCAAAAACACAGGUCUCUGCUAAAGCGUAAGCUGAUGUAUAGGGGCUGACGCCUGCCCGGUGCUGGAAGGUUAAGGGGAACACUUAGCGCAAGCGAAGGUGUGAACUUAAGCCCCAGUAAACGGCGGCCGUAACUAUAACGGUCCUAAGGUAGCGAAAUUCCUUGUCAGGUAAGUUCUGACCCGCACGAAUGGCGUAAUGACUUGGGCACUGUCUCAACUGUAAAUCCGGCGAAGUUGUAGUGCGAGUGAAGAUGCUCGCUACCCGCGAUUGGACGGAAAGACCCCGUAGAGCUUUACUGUAGCUUAGCAUUGAGUUUUGGUAUUGUCUGUACAGGAUAGGUGGGAGACUAGGAAACCAGGGCGUCAGCCUUGGUGGAGUCAACCUUGGGAUACCACCCUGACAGUACUGAAAUUCUAACUGGCGGCCAUGAAUCUGGUCACAGGACAUUGUUAGGUGGGCAGUUUGACUGGGGCGGUCGCCUCCUAAAAAGUAACGGAGGCGCCCAAAGGUUCCCUCAGAACGGUCGGAAAUCGUUCGAAGAGUGCAAAGGCAGAAGGGAGCCUGACUGCGACACCCACAAGUGGAGCAGGGACGAAAGUCGGGCUUAGUGAUCCGGUGGUACCUCGUGGGAGGGCCAUCGCUCAACGGAUAAAAGCUACCUCGGGGAUAACAGGCUGAUCUCCCCCAAGAGUCCACAUCGACGGGGAGGUUUGGCACCUCGAUGUCGGCUCGUCGCAUCCUGGGGCUGAAGUAGGUCCCAAGGGUUGGGCUGUUCGCCCAUUAAAGCGGCACGCGAGCUGGGUUCAGAACGUCGUGAGACAGUUCGGUCCCUAUCCGUCGCGGGCGUAGGAAAUUUGAGAGGAGCUGUCCUUAGUACGAGAGGACCGGGAUGGACUGACCUCUGGUGUACCAGUUGUUCCGCCAGGAGCACAGCUGGGUAGCUAAGUCGGGAAUGGAUAAACGCUGAAAGCAUCUAAGCGUGAAGCCAACCUCAAGAUGAGAUUUCCCAUAGCGUAAGCUAGUAAGAUCCCUUGAAGAACACAAGGUUGAUAGGUCGGGGGUGUAAGCAUGGUAACAUGUUCAGCUGACCGAUACUAAUAGAUCGAGGGCUUGACCAA